UACGUAGGGUGCAAGCGUUAAUCGGAAUUACUGGGCGUAAAGCGUGCGCAGGCGGUGAUGUAAGACAGAUGUGAAAUCCCCCGGGCUCAACCUGGGAACUGCAUUUGUGACUGCAUCGCUGGAGUACGGCAGAGGGGGGGUAGAAUUCCACGUGUAGCAGUGAAAUGCGUAGAGAUGUGGAGGAACACCGAUGGCGAAGGCAGCCCCCUGGGUCAAGAUUGACGCUCAUGCACGAAAGCGUGGGGAGCAAACAGG
rnacentral:rRNA from 1 species